GGCCUAAUACAUGCAAGUCGAACGGUUGUCAGCAAUGGCAAUAGUGGCGCACGGGUGCGUAACGCGUAACCAACCUACCCGAAUCUGGGGGAUAGCCCGCCGAAAGGCGGAUUAAUACCGCAUAAAACUGCAGGACGGCAUCGUUUAACAGUUAAAGAUUUGUUGGAUUCGGAUGGGGUUGCGUGCCAUUAGCUAGUUGGGGGGGUAACGGCCCACCAAGGCGACGAUGGCUAGGGGAGCUGAGAGGCUGGUCCCCCACACGGGCACUGAGAUACGGGCCCGACUCCUACGGGAGGCAGCAGUAGGGAAUAUUGGGCAAUGGUCGAGAGACUGACCCAGCCAUGCCGCGUGCAGGAUGAAGGCUUUCUGAGUCGUAAACUGCUUUUGCCAGGGAAGAGAAAAGGGGAUGCGUCCUCUACUGACGGUACCUGGUGAAUAAGCACCGGCUAACUCCGUGCCAGCAGCCGCGGUAAUACGGAGGGUGCAAGCGUUGUCCGGAUUUAUUGGGUUUAAAGGGUGCGUAGGCGGCUUUUUAAGUCUGGGGUGAAAGCCCGUUGCUCAACAACGGAACUGCCCUGGAAACUGGAGAGCUUGAGUACAGACGAGGGUGGCGGAAUGGAUACUGUAGCGGUGAAAUGCAUAGAUAGUAUCCAGAACCCCGAUUGCGAAGGCAGCUGCCUAGAUUGUAACUGACGCUGAGGCACGAAAGCGUGGGGAGCGAACAGGAUUAGAUACCCUGGUAGUCCACGCCGUAAACGAUGGAUACUCGCUGGUGGCGACAGACGGUCACUGGCUUAGCGAAAGCGUUAAGUAUCCCACCUGGGGAGUACGCUCGCAAGA
rnacentral:rRNA from 1 species